rnacentral:misc_RNA from 1 species
CCCCUUUAAAAAWGGRUAAAACUUUGGUCUUAGUGUAUACGAGUUUUUGAACAUAAAGGAGUAAUAACAAAUUGAUUCUUAAGGUUUGUUAUUGCUCCUUUCUUUAAUCUUUAAUUAAGUAGUUUUUUUCUGACGUGAGUUUUAUUUAUUAUUAUUAUUUUUUUUUUUUUUAGUAUUYUUAGGGACGGGUUCAUCAUUCGAAAUCAWAUUUUUUUUUGUUUUGUAUUAAUUUAAAUAWGUAUAUGUUAUAUUUUAUGUUUUUAUGUUUUUCCCUUUUUUUGUUCAAAAAAAUCCCGACCAUCAACACGACG